UACGUAGGGCGCAAGCGUUGUCCGGAAUUAUUGGGCGUAAAGAGCUCGUAGGCGGUUUGUCGCGUCUGCUGUGAAAACUCGAGGCUCAACCCCGGGCCUGCAGCCGAUACGGGCAGACUAGAGUUCGGCAGGGGAGACUGGAAUUCCUGGUGUAGCGGUGAAAUGCGCAGAUAUCAGGAGGAACACCGGUGGCGAAGGCGGGUCUCUGGGCCGAUACUGACGCUGAGGAGCGAAAGCGUGGGGAGCGAACAGG
rnacentral:rRNA from 1 species